AGCAGUAGCCGCGGUAAUGCGAAGGGUGCAAGCGUUACACGGAAUUACUGGGCGUAAAGCGUGCGUAGGUGGUGGUUUAAGUCCGUUGUGAAAGCCCUGGGCUCAACCUGGGAAUUGCAGUGGAUACUGGGUCACUAGAGUGUGGUAGAGGAUAGUGGAAUUUCCGGUGUAGCAGUGAAAUGCGUAGAGAUCUGGAGGAAUACCGGUGGCGAAGGCAGCCCCCUGGGCCAACACUGACGCUCAUGCACGAAAGCGUGGGGAGCAAACGGGAUUAGAGACCCGUGUAGUCCCUGUCUCUUAUAC
rnacentral:rRNA from 1 species